rnacentral:rRNA from 1 species
UGGGGAAUAUUGCACAAUGGGGGAAACCCUGAUGCAGCGACGCCGCGUGGAGGAAGAAGGUCUUCGGAUUGUAAACUCCUGUUGUUGGGGAAGAUAAUGACGGUACCCAACAAGGAAGUGACGGCUAACUACGUGCCAGCAGCCGCGGUAAAACGUAGGUCACAAGCGUUGUCCGGAAUUACUGGGUGUAAAGGGAGCGCAGGCGGGAAGACAAGUUGGAAGUGAAAACCAUGGGCUCAACCCAUGAAUUGCUUUCAAAACUGUUUUUCUUGAGUAGUGCAGAGGUAGAUGGAAUUCCCGGUGUAGCGGUGGAAUGCGUAGAUAUCGGGAGGAACACCAGUGGCGAAGGCGGCCUACUGGGCACCAACUGACGCUGAGGCUCGAAAGUGUGGGUAGCAAACAGGAUUAGAUACCCUGGUAGUCCACACCGUAAACGAUGAUUACUAGGUGUUGGGAGAUUGACCCUCUCAGUGCCGCAGUUAACACAAUAAGUAAUCCACCUGGGGAGUACGACCGCAAGGUUGAAACUCAAAGGAAUUGACGGGGGCCCGCACAAGCAGUGGAGUAUGUGGUUUAAUUCGACGCAACGCGAAGAACCUUACCAAGUCUUGACAUCCCUUGACGAUGCUGGAAACAGUAUUUCUCUUCGGAGCAAGGAGACAGGUGGUGCAUGGUUGUCGUCAGCUCGUGUCGUGAGAUGUUGGGUUAAGUCCCGCAACGAGCGCAACCCUUAUGGUCAGUUACUACGCAAGAGGACUCUGGCCAGACUGCCGUUGACAAAACGGAGGAAGGUGGGGAUGACGUCAAAUCAUCAUGCCCCUUAUGACCUGGGCCUCACACGUACUACAAUGGCUGUUAACAGAGGGAUGCAAAGCCGCAAGGUGGAGCGAACCCCUAAAAGCAGUCUUAGUUCGGACUGCAGGCUGCAACUCGCCUGCACGAAGUCGGAAUUGCUAGUAAUCGUGGAUCAGCAUGCCACGGUGAAUACGUUCCC